GGGAAACAGAAUUCAUUGCACUCUUUGGAUGAAUAUGCUGUGAAGAUGCAACAAUGCUUGGAGACACAUGACUCAUCCCUGCCUUUGGUUGUUGUCUUUCAGUUAUGCAAGCUUAAGAAGUAUUAUGGUGUUAUGGGAAUCUCCAAUGCUUUUUAUGGUACCAAAAUGAUGUUGAAUCCUAAUAUUCCUGAAGCUUCUAUAUAUAGAGAGGAUGAAUGGUGCGGAUGUUGAAUUAACUCAGGUUGUUGGCCAGAUGACAGGUCCGACUAUCGUUUCAUUGGCUGAUGAUUUACUCCAAACUCAGUGGAUGACCAUUGAGGACUUGAUUGAGUCAUCUGAGAAAUGUGUUGCUUCUGUCUUGGUGAGAACAAGUGAGUUUGACACCGAUUCCGGGCGGUUUAAUAGAGCAUGUAGUAAGUGUGCUUCGAGGAUUACCACUAUCAAUGGACAGAUUUACUGUGACAAGUGCAGCUUACCAAGAACAGCUGUU